GUGGACUAAUGGAAGGGAGCCUUGGCGAGCGGAGCGCAGCUGUCCCGUCAUUAGCCCCCGUGUUGGUUUCCACAGUGUGUUUGUUUGUUGAUCGGCGUGUUUUUGCACCUGCGGCGCCGACGCAGAAGGUCGUGGGAAAAAGGCCCGGCCAGAGGAAGCGGCCACGCCGAGAAACUCUCGAGGGAACGGAGGCUCUUCACCUUCGAACCCGACCCUCGUCUGGUGGCUUCAGCAGAUGCUGUAGAAUCACUCAGCCAUGCCAGCCUGGCUGGUUACCGGGGGCAACCCUGUAAAUCUGACAUUACGGGCUGUUGACAGGAGAAACGGUUGUUAUCAUAACCCACAGUGAGUCGCAGGAAACACACGCACCUCUCCAGUAGAACCACACACACACACGCACAUACACACACACACACGCGCGUAGACCAAAAGUGAGGGUAUGAAAGAGGAGUUUGAUUUACAGCUCAGGAGCAUGUAAAGGAAUGGGACGUGUGACAUAACGCUGUGUGUGAGUGUGUGGAGUGUGUGUGUGUGUGUGUGUGUGUGUGUGUGUGUGUGUGUGUGUGUGUGUGUGUGUGUGUUUUAUAUCUCGGCGAGAGGGAUGUGAUAGAGUGAAGUGAUGAGUGUGGGAAACCUCGCGGUGAGCAGGUCACAGGAAACAAGAUAUACUACCUGGCCCUCUGUAAUCCUCACCAUGAAAUAUCCACACACACACACACACACACACACACACACACACAGAUCCAUGCACCACACACACACACACACACACACACACACACACAUAUGCUGCUCUGCCUCUAUGUCAUGAUUAUACCUUUCCAAAACCCCAAAUAGUCUCUCUCUCUCAAUCUUUCCCCUCUCUUUGCGUCUGCCUCUCCCAGUCUGGGUGUUCCAGCAGUAAUGGUGUGUGCUGUGGGAGCAGCAGGAAUGGCCAUUACCAUCCAUGGAUCACUGGUGGGGGCCGGCACGCGGUGGACUAGGACGAGGGAAGGAGGAGCACAGGGAAGGUCAGAGAGGGGAAAUUGAGAGAGGAAGAAAAAAAAAUAACGCGGGCGAGGAAACGAGAAGGAGAGGUGUAUUAUUUGAAUGCCGUCGUUGUAAUGAAGUCAUUCCACAGCGUUUGUGACGAUUGGAGGAUUUUCUAAGCGCUUGAUGGAUUCAAUGCAAAUAAAGUCGCACGCAAGCAUUUUUCUGGUCGUGACAGCGUUUGGAUGAAAAUGUGCCCUCAAACCCGCAGAAUCAUGGGCGCUGAAAGGAGAAGAGAUUCAUGGAUGAGGCUCCACUUCAUUUGGUUAAACCUCAGGCGUCGCAUUCGCCGUCUGACCGGAGAGUCGGAUGGACGAGGGAAGCGUUGAUGAAGGCCGGCCAUUAACAUCACGUGGUUCUCCUUUUAAAGCAACGAUAAAGAUGGACCUGAAUUAACCUGCAAACUCACGCGGUUACGAGGGAGACAUGAUGAGUCUGAAUUAACAUUUUUUGCCGAACUGCCCUGUUUGUUGGUUGAAUUUAUUAAGACUAUUGAAGGCUUGGAAGACAAAUGAAGGAAUGCUGGAGGAAGACACAGUCCAGAGUUUAUUCGGGUGUAACUAAGCGAUAAGGUAGUAACACAUUACUUAUUAAUCCCAAAAACAAUGCAAUUUGUCAUAUUCGCCGUCAAAGAAAAGCAACACGGGGAAGAGAGAAAAUCAAAAAAGCGGCAAACAAAGCAGGAGAAGCGCAGCUCGUGUGACGGGAGGCCCGUCGUGGUCGUUCGGGGGGGCGGUUGUGGUGCGCGGCGGCAGGUUGUACCGGCGCUGACCUUUCUGUUGUAACAACCCGGGAAUAAAAGGGAAGUGCCACACAAAGAGCUCUAUUAACAGAGAAACCAGAUAUAAUGGGGAAACAAGAUGGGCCUUUAAUGGGGACAGGCAGGGCUGUCAGCAUGCAUAAUGUAACAGUCGUGUUAAAACAACACUGGGGCUCCAUGUGCUCCCCCUUCACACACACACACACACACAGAAACAAGCCUCUGUGAGAGACCCAAGUUAUUAAUUCACACAUUGGUCCUCAUCUAUGGAAUAUUCUCCCAGCGCGGCGCACAUUUCUCCUGCAAGGAUGGGAAUCAUUGUUGUGUGUAAUUAUGAAGACAAUGUUGGGAGGGAUUAUCAAAGAAGUAAGGGGGGGAGAUAAGAAAGCGGCGGAUGAAGAGGGUGCGGGGACGAGAAGAAAGGGGAAGUAGAGGGGGAUAGAAGUAACAGAGGCAGGGGUGAGAAGGGAAGGGGACGAGGACGGAGAGAGGAAAGAUUACCCCCCCCCCCCGUCCCUCUCUGUUUUGCGGCGCUAUCGUUCCCUCCUCCCUCGUUCCUCCUUCCUCCGCAUUAGCAUGAUAAAGACGCGGUGGAAUAGGGCAGCCGGCAGGUCUUUGGACAUGGAGACAAUGCUAUCGCCAGAGCAGGCGUCUGCAGCGGGGGGGACAGCCACCGAGGGACGGUGCACCAACAACACACGCACACACACACACACACAC
ensembl:lncRNA